UACGUAGGGUGCGAGCGUUGUCCGGAAUUAUUGGGCGUAAAGGGCUCGUAGGCGGUCUGUUGCGUCGGGUGUGAAAACUCAGGGCUUAACCCUGAGCCUGCUUCCGAUACGGGCAGACUAGAGGUAUGCAGGGGAGAACGGAAUUCCUGGUGUAGCGGUGAAAUGCGCAGAUAUCAGGAGGAACACCGGUGGCGAAGGCGGUUCUCUGGGCAUUGCCUGACGCUGAGGAGCGAAAGUGUGGGGAGCGAACAGG
rnacentral:rRNA from 1 species